rnacentral:tRNA from 1 species
UAUAUUUUAUUGUAUGAUGCAUAAAAAAUUUUGAUUUUUUAGGAAAUAGUUUAAUUCUAUUAAAUAUAA